rnacentral:rRNA from 1 species
AUGACAUUAGACAUGGAGGCCUUGAACUCUGUGGCCUUUAAUGCUUUGUCCCCGCUCAGAGUGUGGUCACAUCUUGUUGAGGAUUUUGAGAGCCAUUCGUGGCAAGGCAGAGGCAGAGGGCCAUCCAACAACAAUUUACUCACCUUGGUACAAAAAACCAGUGGCCAUUGUCUGCAUUGCAUGGUAUGGCCAUGGGCCCUAUGGCGAGACUACACAGGACUAAGGUGGAUUGGGACGAAGCAGCUGGUGUCCCCAUGGAGGCACUCCAGCAAUUUCUGCCAUGAACAUAAACUGAGCUUGAUGUGCAUGCAAGGGGAAACUGUGGGAAGCCAAGAUUUGACUCAACAGGCCCACUCUACUCCGGGCACUUACGGCUUUCAGACACCACAUGUAAGCUAG